UCGCCUGUUUAACAAAAACAUAGCGUUAUGGAAUAAAUAUAAGGUUUUACCUGCCCAAUGAUGAAGUUUAAAUGGCCGCAGUACUUUGACUGUGCUAAGGUAGCAUAAUAAAUUGACUUUUAAUUAAGGUCUAGAAUGAAAGGAUAAAUGGACAAAUACUGUCUCUUAAAAAUUAGUAUUAAUUUUCUUAAAAGGUGAAAAUUCCUUUAAUUUAAUUAAAAAGACGAGAAGACCCUAGGAGUUUAAAUAUCAUUUUGUUGGGGCAACAUUAUAGCAAAUAACCUAUAAUAAAACAUUAAAUAUAACGAAGUAUUUAAAUUUUAAAUAAGCUACCCUAGGGAUAACAGCAUAAUUUGUUGAAAAAUAAGUUUGUGACCUCGAUGUUGGACUAGGGACUUUAAAUAUUAAAUAUAUUUAUUGAUUUGUUCUGUUCGAACAUAAAAGACCUACGUGAUCUGAGUUCAGACCGGA
rnacentral:rRNA from 1 species